GCCUAUGGCUGUGACACUCUCAACAAGCCUGAUGUCUGAUCUCGGAAGCUAAGCAGGGUUGGACCUGGUUAGUACUUGGAUGGGAGACCACCUAAGAAGACCAGGUGCUGUAGGCA
rnacentral:rRNA from 1 species